UACGUAGGGGGCAAGCGUUGUCCGGAAUUAUUGGGCGUAAAGGGCGCGUAGGCGGCAUGUUAAGUCGGCUGUGAAAGCCUGGGGCUCAACCCCAGAGGGUCGGCCGAUACUGGCAAGCUAGAGUGCAGAAGGGGCAACUGGAAUUCUCGGUGUAGCGGUGAAAUGCGUAGAUAUCGAGAGGAACACCUGCGGCGAAGGCGGGUUGCUGGGCUGACACUGACGCUGAGGCGCGAAAGCCAGGGGAGCGAACGGG
rnacentral:rRNA from 1 species